GUCAGCUGAACCAUCAGUAUGUUCUACAGUUUCAGAUAGCACUCCAUCAGAACUUUCAGCCGGCCUUUGCAAUGAUGGAGAAACUAAGGGAAGUGUUGGCUCUGAAAUGGAAUCUCCAGGUCCAGGAGACGAUUCAGCUGUGGUAGGGGAUGAAAUAGCAGCUUCAGCUUCAUCGCCAUUAGACCCCUCGAUACUCUCAUCCU
rnacentral:misc_RNA from 1 species